CGUAGACGAGUUUGACGUCUGGACUCAGGCGUAAGCUGGCGGUGUGCCUAAUACAUGGCAAGUCGAGCGGCCGAACGAGGGGCUUGCUCUUGUUUGGUCGAGCGGCGGACGGGUGAGUAACACGUGGGCAACCUGCCGCAAGACCGGGAUAACUCCGGGAAACCGGAGCUAAUACCGGAUAACACCGAGACCGCAUGGUCUUCGGUUGAAAGCGGCUUUGGGCUGUCACUUGCGGAUGGGCCCGCGGCGCAUUAGCUAGUUGGUGAGGUAACGGCUCACCAAGGCGACGAUGCGUAGCCGGCCUGAGAGGGUGACCGGCCACACUGGGACUGAGACAGGCCCAGACUCCUACGGGAGGCAGCAGUAGGGAAUCUUCCGCAAUGGGCGAAAGCCUGACGGAGCGACGCCGCGUGAGCGAAGAAGGCCUUCGGGUCGUAAAGCUCUGUUGUGAGGGACGAAGGAGCGCCGUUCGAAGAGGGCGGCGCGGUGACGGUACCUCACGAGAAAGCCCCGGCUAACUACGUG
rnacentral:rRNA from 1 species